rnacentral:rRNA from 1 species
UACAGAGGUCCCAAGCGUUGUUCGGAUUCACUGGGCGUAAAGGGUGCGUAGGCGGUCGGGUAAGUCUGAUGUGAAAUCUCACAGCUUAACUGUGAAACUGCAUUGGAUACUAUCCGGCUUGAGGAAUGGAGGGGAGACUGGAAUACUUGGUGUAGCAGUGAAAUGCGUAGAUAUCAAGUGGAACACCAGUGGCGAAGGCGAGUCUCAGGACAUUUCCUGACGCUGAGGCACGAAAGCCAGGGGAGCAAACGGG